GACGAACGCUGGCGGCGUGCCUAAUACAUGCAAGUCGAACGCUGAAGCGAGGAGCUUGCUCUUCUUGGAUGAGUUGCGAACGGGUGAGUAACGCGUAGGUAACCUGCCUUGUAGCGGGGGAUAACUAUUGGAAACGAUAGCUAAUACCGCAUAACAAUGGAUGACCCAUGUCAUUUAUUUGAAAGGGGCAAAUGCUCCACUACAAGAUGGACCUGCGUUGUAUUAGCUAGUAGGUGAGGUAACGGCUCACCUAGGCGACGAUACAUAGCCGACCUGAGAGGGUGAUCGGCCACACUGGGACUGAGACACGGCCCAGACUCCUACGGGAGGCAGCAGUAGGGAAUCUUCGGCAAUGGGGGCAACCCUGACCGAGCAACGCCGCGUGAGUGAAGAAGGUGUUCGGAUCGUAAAGCUCUGUUGUAAGUCAAGAACGAGUGUGGGAGUGGAAAGUUCACACUGUGACGGUAGCUUACCAGAAAGGGACGGCUAACUACGU
rnacentral:rRNA from 1 species